GGCUGGAUAGCUCAGUUGGUAGAGCACUGCAAUGGUAAUCCAGAGGUCGCAGGUUCAAACCCCGCUCCAGUCA